AUGACAUCUCAGGGCAUAAACAGUAGACAUUUUUUCUCCUGCAUCUGCAGGGUUCAGUUAUUUUUGGCUUGGCUCCCUCUUGUAUCUGAAAGAUGGUCAGUCUGGUUUGGGCUUGUUUGGGCUGUUGCCAGCCUGAAUAUCAUCCUCUAUAAAAGUGGAGUAAUUUCAAGAAAUAUCAUAAAGGUUGUAUACUUCCACCAUACUUUACCUUUUUAUUGCGUUGUUUUGUUAUACAAAGUAAAAAUGCACUUACACAUUUCUUGUUUUCACUGAUGCAAUGAGUGUGAGUGUAUCAGAAUAUCAAAUAAUUUUUCCUAAUAUUUUUUUGCCUCUCAUUGUCUUUAAAGAAGGGAUAAGAACACUAAAUUCCGAAUAUUUUCACCCUGGAGUUUGGCUUGGUUAAUACUUCUUCUUUUUUAUUGUUUAAAAUGUACUAUUCAUGGAAACAUUGUAAAUUAUGCCUACACAAUGGCAAAUAAGCAAAUCUUCAUAGAUACUAAAAUUAGUUGUCUAAGUAAUAUUGUAGACAGAUUGUGUCGUUCAUGGAUGUGUGCCCCAGAGCCUUGCACAUAGACAUAUUAAAUAAUUAUUUGGUGGAUGAAUGGAUAUUUGAUGUGUUGCUGAUCUAACAAUCAAUAACAUGUGACUGAAAAAGUAAGAAUGAUCAUUCUUACGGUUUGCAGGUAGAAGAGUACAUUGAGACCAUAAGAAGUCAGGAAAUGAAAAUUGUGCGGUUGAAUCUGUGAUGUAUUUAGCUUUUUAUGAAAGUGAUGGCCUUGCAUAGGUAUGGGCAAGGAUCCCCAUUCUGUGUCUGUGUAUGUGCCAAGGUUCCUCUGGUGCCUAGGCUGGAGGAGGUUUUCAUCCCCAAGAGAGGCACCUUGGGAUGUCCCUGGGUGUGUGGUACUUUCUGGCUCUGUUCUUCUCUUACUCAUAGGUACAGGCAAUCAUGCUACCAUAAUUGAUCAAUUGACUAUUUACACAUCUAUUUAUUUCACUUGUUUUAAGUAAAAUAGUGGGUUAGCUGGUAGAUAUUUAACAUUUUUAGUUUGGUUUCUCUGGUGUUAUGGAAAUAUUUCUUUUAAGUCAACACCGAGAAGCCUGUGGCAGUAGGAGGCCAAGGUGCUGAACAUAAUCUAGUUGUUGGAAAUUCAGAAGAUCCGGAGGAUCAAGUUUUCCUCCUGCAAGCCUAUAAGAGGCAUGCCUGGUGCCCCUUCAGCGACAGAGGAGGAGAAAAUGAGCUGUUUGUGUGGUAAAAUAAAGACCAUGUUAUUCUCA
rnacentral:lncRNA from 1 species